UAUCCUUCCAGAGGGUGGUAAUAAAAUGCAACUGACUGGGACAGCUGUCUUUUCGUAGAGGAUUUUCACCAGCUCUAUGACAAUCUCUGUUCUUAAAUCAACAACACCUGCAACAUACAUUGGGUGCAGUAUGACAGAAGCUCUAGGAGUGGGGUUUGCAGCCACUUGUCCCUGGAUUGAGAUCCAGAAACUGUGCUGUGGUUUCCCAGUCUUGUAUCACCAGCAUAGAGCCACUGCUGCAUCUGACAACUGCUUCCUCCACUCACCUUUCUGUCAACAGGGACAGGGGUGUCAGCUUGGGUUUGUUCAGCACAUUUCUAAGAUGUCAGCUGUGUUCCUGUGAGGGGGAAAAAGUAAUUCUAAUGACCAAUUUAUCAUGAGUGAUGGAACAGUGGCACUCUGCAGGGAGUCAACAUUUGCAAGCUCAGGAUCAUGCAACAGAGGGAUGUGAACUUUUAAAAUGGAUACAAUUGUCAAAGCCUGUGAUGCUAUGGUCAGUUCUCUGGUGCAGAGAGGAACUGUUGGGAAGGAAGGAGGGGUCUGUAUGGUGACUGCCUUCAGGAAGUAGCAAUCUGAUUCAGGGCCUUUUCUAACAAAAAACCCAUGUGAAGUGGAAAAAAAUUGUAACCAGUAACAAAGGAAACAUCUCAGAGAUGGAAUCAUCAAGGCCCAGGCAUGGACAUUUAUGGGCAGGUCAAGACUCAAAAGGAAAACAGAGAGUUGAUAGUUUUUAAUCAUCCAUGAUAAGGCAGGUUAUCACCUGCAGAACUGUGACAACGUCCUUUAACUCAGUAAUGGCAGGAUUAAUUUGAAACAACCUUUGACGUAAAAUAAGCCCAAGCAAAGGCAAGGCCUGUGAAAUACACAGAUUGCAAACUCUACAGAAAUGUGCAUGCAGAAGUGGGAGAGAUGCACCUUGAAGGACAUGUAACAAUACAGACCACACAAAGCAUCAAUUAUUCCAUCUUUCUCUUCUCCCUUCUCCUCCUGUUCCCUUCAAUAUAAAAAAUAGACUAAUCCAGGAGAAUAGUGAUGAAGAGUUGUAGAGCUCAAUCUCUCUGCUUAGAAGCAUGCAGCUCUGUGUGAUCUGCUGGUAGACGUGACCAGAAGUAAACAGCCUGGGCUGGAGUGUUCCAUCUUGUAACUAGGUGGUUUUACUGUGUUUUCAGGUAAUAUGGCAAGUUAGACCAACUCCUCCCUUUCUGUAAUUCCUAAUAAUAGCUGCUUCCUAAAUUUCCGAUCAAAUAUAUGUUGUUGUCACACUCUAUGUAAAGAAAUAAAAGCUUGUCAAAAGCAGGAACA
rnacentral:lncRNA from 1 species